rnacentral:rRNA from 1 species
AUUGAACGCUGGCGGCAUGCCUUACACAUGCAAGUCGAACGGUAACGGGUCUUCGGAUGCUGACGAGUGGCGAACGGGUGAGUAAUACAUCGGAACGUGCCCAGACGUGGGGGAUAACGAGGCGAAAGCUUUGCUAAUACCGCAUACGAUCUAAGGAUGAAAGCAGGGGACCGCAAGGCCUUGUGCGUUUGGAGCGGCCGAUGGCAGAUUAGGUAGUUGGUGGGAUAAAAGCUUACCAAGCCGACGAUCUGUAGCUGGUCUGAGAGGACGACCAGCCACACUGGGACUGAGACACGGCCCAGACUCCUACGGGAGGCAGCAGUGGGGAAUUUUGGACAAUGGGCGAAAGCCUGAUCCAGCAAUGCCGCGUGCAGGAUGAAGGCCUUCGGGUUGUAAACUGCUUUUGUACGGAACGAAAAGGCUCUGGCUAAUACCUGGGGCACAUGACGGUACCGUAAGAAUAAGCACCGGCUAACUACGUG